ACUGGGGGGGGGGGUCCCUCAGCCCAGAUUGCGAGAGGGUUCAGGUCAGGCCAAGGGACCCCACUGGUGCAUG
rnacentral:pre_miRNA from 1 species